rnacentral:misc_RNA from 1 species
GAUGAAGAACGUAGUGAAAUGCGAUAAGUAGUGUGAAUUGCAGAAUUCAGUGAAUCAUCGAAUCUUUGAACGCACAUUGCGCCUUCUAGUAUUCUGGGAGGCAUGCCUGUUUGAGCGUCAUUAAACCUCUCUCAAGUAUGAUUACUUGGAUGUGAAGGAAGGGUACCUUAAACUUAAGGAGUGUUCUCCUUUGAAAUUGAUUAGCAGAUGGUAAUGUUAUUAAAUCCCUGAUGUUGUAAGAAAUAACAGUGGUUUUGUAGACUAUUAUCUAGCUUUAAAUUAUAAUUUUUAUUAUGGUUGACCUCAAAUCAGGUAAGGAUACCCGCUGAACUUAAGCAUAUCAAUAAGCGGAGGA